rnacentral:rRNA from 1 species
GUACACGCUGUGACUAGCAUAUCAAUAAGCGGAGGAAAAGAAACUAACAAGGAUUCCCCUAGUAACGGCGAGUGAAGCGGGAAGAGCUCAAAUUUGAAAUCUUAAAGGGUUUCCCUUUACGAAUUGUAGUUUAAAGAAGUGUUUUCUGUUGAGGUUUUGGUAAAAGUUCUUUGGAAUAGGACAUCAUAGAGGGUGAGAAUCCCGUAUUUGACCUUUACUUUCAACUUUGUGAUACGCUUUCAAAGAGUCGGAUUGUUUGGGAAUGCAGUCCAAAAUGGGUGGUAAAUUUCAUCUAAAGCUAAAUAUUGGCGAGAGACCGAUAGCGAACAAGUACCGUGAGGGAAAGAUGAAAAGAACUUUGAAAAGAGAGUUAAACAGUACGUGAAAUUGUCAAAAGGGAAGCGUUUGACACCAGUGUUGUUUUUCUGAAAAUCAAUUAAAGAACUGUUUAUGCUAAGCUGUUUAGACUUUAUCAGCUAAUCUGUUUAGUUUUGAGCUUUUCUUUAAUGCACUUUUCAGUUAACAAGUCAACAUCAAUUUCUUUUGCUGUAAAAAAGCUUGAGGAAGGUGGCUUGAGAUUCGUCUUAAGUGUUUAUAGCCUCUUGCCUAUGCAGUCGGAGAGAUUGAGGUCUGCAGCGUAGAUCCUUCGGGGCUAAAUGCAUUUGUGCUAAGUUAUAGCAUUUCAUAGACAACUUGUUGACUAUGAUUUGUCUUGUAGCUUACUCGCUUAUGUUAUUUUACCUACGCUUAGGAUGUUGACGAGACUGUCGAUCUC